UUCAAUUUUGACAAUUAUUGCCAACAAAUUUUAUAGUUAAAUCAAAGUAGGCUGUAAUUCUAGUUUGUUGAUUAGAAUGUCAAAAAUUUUCACAACAGUUGGAAUGCACUCAGGAUUCAUUUUCCAAGAGGAUUAUGAAGGAUGGUUCGUAAUUGGUCGAAUUUUAUAGAAGCAGCCUCCAUAGAAUUUAUCUUUUGUCAUGGGCUUCCGAUGUGUCUUCCCGACGGUCAAAACAUAGCACAAAUCCAUACUUUGAUGAGCACAACCUUCCCUGCAUACCGUAUUCUUUUACUCGGUAGAUUAACAUAUUUAUUUUGUUCAUACUUGGUUGAAUCAACGGAAGUUCCGUAGUGAUUAUGCAAAAUCUAAAUUAGAUCAAGCUCCUGGAA